CGGGGUGCAGCAGGCGCGAAAACUUUACAAUGCGGGAAACCGUGAUAAGGGGACACCGAGUGUCAGCAUCAUAUGCUGGCUGUCCAGGUGUGUAAAAUACACCUGUUAGCAAGGGCCGGGCAAGACCGGUGCCAGCCGCCGCGGUAACACCGGCGGCCCGAGUGGUGAUCGUGAUUAUUGGGUCUAAAGGGUCCGUAGCCGGUUUGGUCAGUCCUCCGGGAAAUCUGAUAGCUCAACUAUUAGGCUAUCGGGGGAUACUACCAGACUUGGAACCGGGAGAGGUAAGAGGUACUACAGGGGUAGGAGUGAAAUCUUGUAAUCCCUGUGGGACCACCUGUGGCGAAGGCGUCUUACCAGAACGGGUUCGACGGUGAGGGACGAAAGCUGGGGGCACGAACCGGAUUAGAUACCCGGGUAGUCCCAGCCGUAAACGAUGCUCGCUAGGUGUCAGGCAUGGCGCGACCGUGUCUGGUGCCGCAGGGAAGCCGUGAAGCGAGCCACCUGGGAAGUACGGCCGCAAGGCUGAAACUUAAAGGAAUUGGCGGGGGAGCA
rnacentral:rRNA from 1 species